rnacentral:rRNA from 1 species
AUACGUAGGGUGCGAGCGUUAAUCGGAAUUACUGGGCGUAAAGCGUGCGCAGGCGGUUUUGUAAGUCAGAUGUGAAAUCCCCGGGCUUAACCUGGGAACUGCGUUUGAAACUGCAAGGCUCGAGUGUGGCAGAGGGGGGUGGAAUUCCGCGUGUAGCAGUGAAAUGCGUAGAGAUGUGGAGGAACACCGAUGGCGAAGGCAGCCCCCUGGGUUAACACUGACGCUCAGGCACGAAAGCAUGGGGAGCAAACAGGAUUAGAAACCCGGGUAGUCC